UACGCUGGCGGCACGCCUAACACAUGCAAGUCGAACGAAGUAGCAAUACUUAGUGGCAGACGGGUGAGUAACAUGUAGGUAUCUGCCCUUUGGCCUGGAAUAACACGAGGAAACUUGUGCUAAUACCGAAUAAGCCCUUACGGGGAAAGUUUUAACGCCGAAAGAUGAGCCCGCACUUGAUUAGCUAGUUGGUAAGGUAAAAGCUUACCAAGGCAAUGAUCAAUAGCUGUUCUUAGAGGAAGACCAGCCACAUUGGGACUGAGACACGGCCCAGACUCCUACGGGAGGCAGCAGUGGGGAAUCUUGCACAAUGGGGGAAACCCUGAUGCAGCGAUGCCGCGUGAGUGAAGAAGGCCUUUGGGUUGUAAAACUCUUUCGUCGGGGAAGAAAAUGACUGUACCCGAAUAAGAAGGUCCGGCUA
rnacentral:rRNA from 1 species